GCAUGGUUCUUGGCUGAAAGAUGGCGUAAGCUAUCGCUUUUGGAUGGACCCGCGGCGUAUUAGCUAGUUGGUGAGGUAAUGGCUCACCAAGGCGAUGAUACGUAGCCGAACUGAGAGGUUGAUCGGCCACAUUGGGACUGAGACACGGCCCAAACUCCUACGGGAGGCAGCAGUAGGGAAUCUUCCACAAUGGACGCAAGUCUGAUGGAGCAACGCCGCGUGAGUGAAGAAGGCUUUCGGGUCGUAAAACUCUGUUGUUGGAGAAGAAUGGCCGGCAGAGUAACUGUUGUCGGCGUGACGGUAUCCAACCAGAAAGCCACGGCUAACUACGUGCCAGCAGCCGCGGUAAUACGUAGGUGGCAAGCGUUAUCCGGAUUUAUUGGGCGUAAAGCGAGCGCAGGCGGUUUUUUAAGUCUGAUGUGAAAGCCCUCGGCUUAACCGAGGAAGCGCAUCGGAAACUGGGAAACUUGAGUGCAGAAGAGGACAGUGGAACUCCAUGUGUAGCGGUGAAAUGC
rnacentral:rRNA from 1 species